rnacentral:rRNA from 1 species
GGAGGAAAGUAGGGGAUCGAAAGACCUUAUGCUUUUGGAGCGGCCGAUGUCUGAUUAGCUAGUUGGUGGGGUAAUGGCCUACCAAGGCGACGAUCAGUAGUUGGUCUGAGAGGACGACCAGCCACACUGGGACUGAGACACGGCCCAGACUCCUACGGGAGGCAGCAGUGGGGAAUUUUGGACAAUGGGCGAAAGCCUGAUCCAGCAAUGCCGCGUGAGUGAAGAAGGCCUUCGGGUUGUAAAGCUCUUUCAGUUGAAAAGAAAAGAUCGUGACUAAUAAUCGCGAUUCAUGACGGUAUCAACAGAAGAAGCACCGGCUAACUACGUGCCAGCAGCCGCGGUAAUACGUAGGGUGCAAGCGUUAAUCGGAAUUACUGGGCGUAAAGGGUGCGCAGGCGGUUCUGUAAGUCAGAUGUGAAAUCCCCGGGCUUAACCUGGGAAUUGCGUUUGAAACUACAAAGCUAG